UCUUUUAUAUAAACUGUGACAGCAACUUGCAUAAACAAUUCUUUAGCUAUUAAUUUUAAUGUAAAAACUUUGCAAAACUUGUUUAAUAAAAAUAGCUGUAAAAAGAAAAAAACAUAUGCUGCCGCAUAAAUUAGCCAUAACUCAAUAAUCCUGCCCAUCACAAGUGAACUGUAAUGUAACCUGGGCACAAAGUCUGACAUCUUAAAUGACACAUUGUAAAAUUUCAAUGACUGUAGAUUAGAACUCCUGCUGCACCCCAAAGUAAAUCUUUCUGUUUAGCUAUUUUAAAAUGUACAAGGAUGAGCCCCAUAGGACCCCAUAUUGAUAUUCACAGUGAAAUGUUACUUAAAAUUUAAAAGUUGCAUGUUUCUUUCCUGUAAUGUAUAAACUGCAUGCAGGAUCUCUAUCUUUAUUUUGUAUGUCUUUAAAACUUCUUUUCAAAAGACUGAUCUCUUAUUUCUCCAUUUUCAGGUGACUGAAAACUCCUAAGACAUUUCCUGGACUAGAAUGGGUAGUGAAGACCCAUGUCAGCUGUCCGAAGAGUCUAGAAACCAGGAGAGCUACCUGCUAUAAACAGCCAUCCUGGAGGCAUUUGCUGAGCACGGAGAAACCCGGGAGAGAUCAACAGUUCUGUUUCACACACACACACCCACCCCUUGAUCUAUCCGAUUUACCUACAGAGAGCCAGCCAGAAUCAUCUUCUAAGAAUCUUUGGGCCCAGAACAGAGACCUUAAGGGUCAGAGGACUGUGAUGCUUAACAUUUAAACUUGCUCAAGACUUUAGAGUUGAAAGGGAUUAACAGUAUCCCUAGCAUGACCUUCUAGAUCAGAAUAGACUGGCAACUUUUAUACAUGACAUUCCCAUGCUGUCUUUCCCUUCAGCCUCCUGCAAAAUUUGCUGAACACUCUACCACCACCUCCUUUUCCUCCCUGCUACACCUGUGUUGUGGGUGUUAGCCUGGCCGCCCUUGGUCUCUUCCAGAGAGAGAAUAGUCACUUCCUCUUGUAACAAGCUAAGGAAAACUAAGUGAGAAGGUUCAUUUACUUUGGGUAAGCAAUUUAACCUCUGAGCCUAUUUUUCUUUUCAUUGUUCAUUACUUGUCCAAAAAGCUCCUAUAAGACAGGGGUUUUUUCUACUUCAUUUCUGUACCAUGUUCCUUCCCAACAAGUAUCUGACCCCAAGGAGCUCAAUA
ensembl:lncRNA